rnacentral:lncRNA from 1 species
GGGCCAGGGGGUCUGCUUAUAUAGUCCCUCCAAAUGAAUAUGGACCGUCGGAUCAAACCGACCUUAAUCACACGUUUUUCCUUAAUCCCUUAGGUCGGUGGAGCAUGAUCCGCGAGGUGGAGUUUGAUUGGCUCACAGGCUAGGGUGGGCGCCCAAGGGGGGAGGGCGGGCGCCCUGCCCUUAGGCCCGUUCGGUCUCCCGCUCGUUCACGUGGCUUCUGGACUCUUCUAGAUGUUGG